CCCUUAGAUGUUCUGGGCCGCACGCGCGCUACACUGAUGCAUGCAACAAGUCCUUUCCUUGGCCGAGAGGCCUGGGCAAUCUUUGAAUAUGCAUCGUGAUGGGGAUAGACGAUUGCAAUUAUUCGUCUUCAACGAGGAAUUCCUAGUAAACGCAAGUCAUCAGCUUGCAUUGAUUACGUCCCUGCCCUUUGUACACACCGCCCGUCGCACCUACCGAUUGAAUGGUCCGGUGAAGGCUUCGGAGGCGGCUUUCUCAAUGUUUAUUCGGCGAGACUGCUGCCAAAGUUGAAUGAACCUUACCAUUUAGAGGAAGGUGAAGUCGUAACA
rnacentral:rRNA from 1 species